rnacentral:rRNA from 1 species
CACCAGGUUGAUUCUGCCUGACGUAUGUGCUUGUCUUGAGAUUUAGCCAUGCAAGUUAGCGAAUCUAAAUGUGAAGCAACAGACAGCUCAGUAAUAGAGUUAAAAUUAACUCGUGAAAUUAAAUGGUAACCUUGGUAAGCUAAGGCUAAUACAUAUUAUGAAAAUUAGAGGGGGGCACCUUAAUUUUUUUUUUUACGAUUAAGUUUCUGACCUAUCAGCUAGAUGGUAAGGUAAAGGCUUACGAUUGCUAUAACGGGUAACGGAAAAUCAGGGUUUGAUUCCGGAGAGGGAGCCUGAGAAAUAGCUACCACGUCUAAGGAUGGCAGCAGGCGCGAAAAUUACCCAAUUCCUUAACGGGAGAGGUAGUGAAGAGACAUGAAUAUGGUAUUCGAGUAGGUACAUUAAAAUAGUACUGAAAUAAUUGGAGGGCAAGUCUGGUGCCAGCAGCCGCGUAAUUCCAGCUCCAGUAGCGCAUAUAAUAGUUGCUGCAGUUAAAAAGUCCGUAGUUGAUCUAAUAGUAUACCUGUGAGUAAACUAUAAUACUCAAAAUUAUAAUAAAGCAUGGGAUAAAGAGAUAAUAGGAACAGAUGAUGGCAAUAGUAUUCAAUAGUUAGAGGUGAAAAUUUAAGACCUAUUGAGGACUAUCAGAAGCGAAAGCGAUUGUCAAGGAUGUAUCCGUUAAUAAAGGACUUAAGCUAGAUUAUCGAAGAUGAUUAGAUACCGUCGUAGUUCUAGCUGUAAACGAUGCCGACUAGGUGAUGCCGUUAGCUAUGCCUUAGGAGAAAUCAAAGUCUACGGGCUCUGGGGAUAGUAUGCCGGCAACGGUGAAACUUAAAGAAAUUGACGGAAGAAUACCACAAGGAGUGGAUUAUGCGGCUUAAUUUGACUCAACGCGGGACAACUUACCAGAACCGAACUCAUAUGAGAAUUGAAAACAAUGAUAAUGAGGAAGGUGGUGCAUGGCCGUUUUCAACACGUGGGGUGACCUGUCAGGUUAAUUCCGAUAACGCGUGAGGCCUUUAAUUUAUAUUCAGAGAUAUAGAUGACGGAUAAUGAUAAGUUAUAGGAAGUAAGGCUAUAACAGGUCAGUGAUGCCCCAGAUGCUCUGGGCUGCACGCGUACUACAAUGAUAUAUUGAAAUUAUACAUUGAGAAAUGUUUUUUAUAUAAUAUAUAUCUAAGCUGGGAUAAUUCAUUGUAAAUUGAAUUUGAACUUGGAAUUCCUAGUAAUCAUAAGUCAUUAUGUUAUGAUGAAUGCGUCCCUGUUCUUUGUACACACCGCCCGUCACUAUCUAAGAUGGAUGUAUAGGUGAAAUGGCUAGACUUUUAAUAGGAAAGCAGUUAAACCUGUACAACUAAAUAAGAUAUAAGUCGUAACAAGGUAACC